rnacentral:sRNA from 1 species
AAAAAAAAAUUUAAAUUAAUUUGAAUUAUAUAUCUGUUAAAUUAAAAUAUUAUUAAAACAAAAUGUUUAAUUUCAAUGAACGGGGUUAGAUGGUAUAACAGGUUUGGAUCGACAGUAAUAUGAGACGGUAUACCAUAGUUAAAAUCUGUUAGAUAUGUUUAGUUUUACUGAACGAGAUUAGAUGGUAGGACGGAUUUUGGUCGAUAGUAAUAUGAGACUGUAUACCACGGGUAAAAUCCUAGAUAUAACCAUUAAAAUACAAUUACAUUAUCUUAAAUACUAAACAAAACAAACAA